GUUCCUGUAGUGCAGUGGAUAGCACGAUGGACAUCUAAUCCAUAGGUCAUAGGUUCGAAUCUCAUCUGGAUUG